UACUCCCUCCGUCCCUUAAUAAGUGACCCAUUUAGAAUUUUUUUAAUUUUGACCUAACUGACUUUGACCGUAUUUUUCAACUAAUAUACAAAGAUAAAUAACAUCAUAUAAGAUGUCGUUAGAUUCGUCUCGAUAAGUAUUUUCAAAAUAUCAAAUUUUCAUAAUUUUUUCCAAUAUAUUAUUCAAGAUAUUUAAACUCAAAAUUACGCAUUGGUAUGCGUAAUUGGGUCAACUAGGUCACUUAUUAAGGGACGGAGGGAGUAAU
rnacentral:lncRNA from 1 species